rnacentral:lncRNA from 1 species
CAAGCACUGCUCCAAACCUGAGGCCUGGAGGCAGAUAGAGAGGGCUGGGCUCUGGGAAGGGCUCCCUACUCCUCUCCUGAAUGACAUCCACCUUAGCUGUGAUCUCCACCUUCUUCGGUGAUCCUGGGCCAUUAUGUCUCUGGGGAGCCUGAUGCAUGGCAGGUGUGAACAGAGCAAUGAGAACACACCUGACCCACCCAUCCUUCUGGGGUGUCACUCCUCAGGACAGACUUGGAGCACCUGUGCAAGUCCCGGCACAUGAGGAUGAUGGAGCAAAGCGCAGACGAGGCCAGGGAGAGCAG